rnacentral:tRNA from 1 species
UGUGGCUCAGCUCAGCGGUAGAGUGAUCGCCUAGCAUGCGUGAGGCCCUGGGUUCCAUCCUCAGCACCACAU